GAUUCGGAACGUGGACUGUAGCAAGAUAGGAAGGAGAUAAAAGUACCAUUGCCUUGCAAGGGCCAAUUUGUAAUGGAAGUCAAGUAAUUGGAUGGCACGAAAAUGAAUCAGAUGAAAAUUCUAAAAGAUUCCAUGCUGAAAUGUCAGGUUUUGCCUUCAAUAGUACGAUACUCUGGGAUCCAAAGAAGUGGCACCGUCCCACUCUUGAACCUAUCAGGCAGCUUGACUCAGUCGAGGAAAGUUUGUGGGUUAGCACAUUGAUUGAGCAGGCUGUUGAAGAUGAAAGUCAAAUGGAAGGCUUAAUGAACAACUGCUCUAGUGUUAUGGUUUGGCAUAUUGAUAUUGAAUAAUCUUAUUCCUCCUAUCCUCAGAAAUGGACUGCAAAGAACAACCUGGAUGUCAUUUUUCAUCAUCCACUUGAGUGAAGUUCUUUGUAAAGAAGUAGGGAGAAGUAAAUCUUCAUAUUUUUCACAAGUUAUGAAGGAUUCUGCAUUGCUCCAAUGGCGGCUCAGAUAUCCGAUUCAACGUGACUUAUCCCUACAAGUCAAUUAAUUAAUAGUUCAUUUUCCCCUAACAGCUUGUAUAUUAUUAUUAGAACUAGCCAGUUUGUAGUAUCCAUGGUCCAAAAUUGUGGAGCGUGUUUAAUUUUGUAGUGUCUAUGGCAGAAACCAUAGUGUUUCAAGAGGAAUUGGCCCGUUGGUACUACUACUAGCAAUCAUAAAAUUCAAACUGCUACAUUAAGAAUUAAGAUGGAUCUGUUCAUAUUCAAUCUCAUUAAAUGAAAUAGCACAUUAGUUGAAAAAUAUAAUUUGUAAGUUUAUGGACUAUUCUCAAGUCGAGACCAUUUGUGGACACUAAAAGUGUAAUUAAGCCUCAUUUCAUGUAGUAGCAGCUCAUUCUCAGCGGCCAACGGCCAUAUGGCUCCGUCCAGCAGCUGGUAUCGUCAAGGUGAACACAGACACGGCGUUGAGUGGGGACAAAUUAGCUAUAGCUUUGGCCUGGUUGCUCGUGAUAAAGAUGGUGAAAUCCUUGCAGCUCCUUCUUCCUAUCCCACGGUGGCCAUGACAACAACUAUGACAGAGGCAUUAGCUCUAAGGUGGGCGAUGAUUUUGGCUUUCCAAUUGGGUUUCAGGCGAGUCCAGUUCGAGACAGAUUCACUACAGCUUUAUCAAGCGUGGAAGAAGCGGGAGUGAGAUUCGUAUUUGGCUACUAUAGUUCAGGAUUGCUUUAGUUCUUGUCGUUAUUUUGAUUAUGUUGAACUUUCUUUCAUUUGUAGUAGGGCUGAGCAAGAUUAUCCAGCCCGACCCAAACCCGAAAAAACCGACAAAAAAAGAAGCAAUGGGUCGAGUCGGGCUGGGUAGACAGUUAAGGCGAAAUGGGAAGAUAGUUUCAGACGGGUAAUAAUGGUCGGGUACGGGUUGGAAAUUUAAAAUCCAAUUGUACCCGAACCCGACCGCUUAUUGUGUGUAUUUCAACUUUUUAGGCUUGCAGUGUUCAGUGUUAAAAAAAAAGUAGCCUUGCGGGCUGCAGCA